CAGGCAUUGCAUACAGCUUA
rnacentral:misc_RNA from 1 species